ACUCAAAGGAAUUGACGGGGAGGAGCACAACCAGUGGAGCGUGUGGUUUAAUUCGAUACGAAGCGAAAAACCUUACCUGGACUUGACAUACAUUUUACACUUUUGUCGAAAGAUGAAAGUUCAACGGAUGUACAGCUACUGCAUGGCUGUCGUCAGUUCGUUCCGUGAGGAGUUCCCUUAAGUGGGGUAACGAACGCAACCCCUACUGUCUGUUACAAGUGUCAGACGGAACUGCUCCGACGUAAAGUCGGAGAGGAAGGAGGGGCAGACGUCAAGUCAGCAUGGUGCUUACGUCCAGGGCAACACACACCCUACAAUGGAGCCGACAAUGGGAUGCCAAACGGUAACGUGGAGCAAAUCCCACAAACGGCUUCUCAGUUGGGAUUGAGGGCUGCAAUUCGCCCUCAUGAACUAGGAAUUGGUAGUAAUCGCGAAUCAGCAGGUCGCGGUGAAUACGUUCUCUCCUCUUGUACACACCGCCCGU
rnacentral:rRNA from 1 species